UACAGAGGGGGCAAGCGUUGUUCGGAAUUACUGGGCGUAAAGGGCGCGUAGGCGGCCUUCUAAGUCGAACGUGAAAUCCCCGGGCUCAACCCGGGAACUGCGUCCGAUACUGGAAGGCUUGAAUCCGGGAGAGGGAUGUGGAAUUCCAGGUGUAGCGGUGAAAUGCGUAGAUAUCUGGAGGAACACCGGUGGCGAAGGCGGCAUCCUGGACCGAUACUGACACUGAGGAGCGAAAGCCAGGGGGGCAAAUAGA
rnacentral:rRNA from 1 species